UACGUAGGGUGCAAGCGUUGUCCGGAAUUAUUGGGCGUAAAGAGCUCGUAGGCGGUUUGUCGCGUCUGCUGUGAAAACCCGAGGCUCAACCUCGGGCCUGCAGUGGGUACGGGCAGACUAGAGUGCGGUAGGGAGAUUGGAAUUCCUGGUGUAGCGGUGGAAUGCGCAGAAUAGUCACGGAGGAACACCAAUCGGCGAAGGCGGG
rnacentral:rRNA from 1 species